rnacentral:rRNA from 1 species
AACGAACGCUGGCGGCAUGCCUAACACAUGCAAGUCGAACGAGACCUUCGGGUCUAUUGGCGCACGGGUGCGUAACGCGUGGGAAUCUUCCCUUGGGUUCGGAAUAACAGUUGGAAACGACUGCUAAUACCGGUUGAUGACGUAAGUCCAAAGAUUUAUCGCCCAGGGAUGAGCCCGCGUUGGAUUAGCUUGUUGUUGGGGUAAAGGCCUACCAAGGCGACGAUCCUUAGCUGGUCAGAGAGGAUGAUCAGCCACACUGGGAGUGAGACACGGCACAGACUACUACGGGAGGCAGCAGUGGGGAAUAUUGGAAAAUGGGCGAAAGGCUGAUAAAGCAAUGAGGCGUGAGUGAUGAAGGCAUUAGGGUAGUAAAGCUCUAUUAAACGGGAUGAUAAUGACAGUAACGGGAGAAUAAGCCCCGGCUAACUACGUG